rnacentral:misc_RNA from 1 species
GAUGAAGAACGUAGCGAAAUGCGAUAAGUAAUGUGAAUUGCAGAAUUCAGUGAAUCAUCGAAUCUUUGAACGCACAUUGCGCCCCUUGGUAUUCCGGGGGGCAUGCCUGUUCGAGCGUCAUUUCAACCCUCAAGCUCUGCUUGGUAUUGGGCUCCGUCCUCCUCGGACGCGCCUCAAAGACCUCGGCGGUGGCGUCUUGCCUCAAGCGUAGUAGAAACACCUCGCUUUGGAGUGCAUGGCGUCGCCCGCCGGACGAAACCUUUUGUAUUUUCUCAAGGUUGAACUCGGAUCAGGUAGGGAUACCCGCUGAACUUAAGCAUAUCAAUAAGCGGAGGA